AAGUCGUAACAAGGUUUCCGUAGGUGAACCUGCGGAAGGAUCAUUAACACUUUUUCCAAAACUCCUUUUUUCUUUUGGCUCAAACCAAAAGAUUUAAGGUUUUAACCCCAAUUUAUUGCGAACGAUGAUUUUCCAAAAUCAUUUUUCUCUUCUUUAUCCUCUUUUUUUUUACCCCAAUUUUUAAAAAAUCAAAAGCCUGAUAUAAAUCGUUUUCUCUUUUUUUUCAAAAAGAGUUUUAACGACCGAAACCUAAUGGUUAAAACAACUCUUAGCAACGGAUAUCUUGGCUCUC
rnacentral:misc_RNA from 1 species